rnacentral:sRNA from 1 species
GCAAACCCAACCGCAGGGCUCGCCCGCAG